rnacentral:rRNA from 1 species
UACGUAGGGUGCGAGCGUUGUCCGGAAUCAUUGGGCGUAAAGGGCUCGUAGGCGGCCCAUCGCGUCGGGAGUGAAACGCUGGGGCUUAACCCCAGUCCUGCUUUCGAUACGGGUGGACUAGAGGUAGGCAGGGGAGAAUGGAAUUCCUGGUGUAGCGGUGAAAUGCGCAGAUAUCAGGAGGAACACCGGUGGCGAAGGCGGUUCUCUGGGCCUGUACUGACGCUGAGGAGCGAAAGCGUGGGGAGCGAACAGG